rnacentral:misc_RNA from 1 species
CCGAGUGAGGGCCCCCGGCCCGACCUCCAACCCUUUGUUGACCAACACCUGUUGCCUCGGGGGCGACCCGGCCUCCGCGCCGGGCCCCCGGUGGACCACCAACGCUGCAUCAGUGCGUCGGAGUACUUAGCGAAUCAAUCA